rnacentral:misc_RNA from 1 species
GAAAUGCGAUAAGUAAUGUGAAUUGCAGAAUUCAGUGAAUCAUCGAAUCUUUGAACGCACAUUGCGCCCGCCAGUAUUCUUGCGGGCAUGCCUGUUCGAGCGUCAUUUCAACCAUCAAGCCCCCGGCUUGUGUUGGGGACCUGCGGCUGCCCGCAGGCCCUGAAAAACAGUGGCGGGCUCGCUGUCACACCGAGCGUAGUAGCAUACAUUCUCGCUCAGGGCGUGCUGCGGGUUCCGGCCGUUAAACGACCUUCAUAACCCAAGGUUGACCUCGGAUCAGGUAGGAAGACCCGCUGAACUUAAGC